rnacentral:tRNA from 1 species
AGUAAAGUCAGCUAAUUAAGCUUCAGGGCCCAUACCCCUAAAAUCUUGGCGAAAAUCCCUCCUUUACUA